UUAAUAUGCGGAGGAACAUUUGGUACAAGGAGAUGGCCAAUUUCUUAGACCAGAUGAAGGAAGUACUUUCAGAAGAACCAAAAUAUAUAUAAAACAUACAGAAUUCUGAGAAGAGUAGAUUGUUAAACCCUAAUUAAAGAUAUUAAAUGAGGCCUCAUUCAAGUUGACCAGCUGCACCGCCAUCUGAGUAUAAGAAAAUCCAUCUAAGGUUGUUCCACAUCAUCACUUUCAUGUUUCCACAAUUACGUGAUAUUAUAUUGCAGAAGUCAUUUCUCUUCAGUUCCAUUCAUGUGGAAACCAAAUUAGAGCAAAAUGACUCCUGAAAAACCAUUCGGCAGUGGAUCAGUUGACUUUCCUUUACCUUCACACCAUCAAUCCACAGCAGAAACGUAGUCACAGUGUCCCAGGAAGGCUUCUGAAGACCAUAGAGAAGCCUGAAUCAGUAGAAGAAAGGAGACCAGGUCCCUGAGUGAUGACAAAAAGCAGAGUACUGGAGCGCCUG